rnacentral:rRNA from 1 species
UGGGGAAUUUUGGACAAUGGGCGAAAGCCUGAUCCAGCAAUGCCGCGUGUGUGAAGAAGGCCUUCGGGUUGUAAAGCACUUUUGUCCGGAAAGAAAUCCUUGGCUCUAAUACAGUCGGGGGAUGACGGUACCGGAAGAAUAAGCACCGGCUAACUACGUGCCAGCAGCCGCGGUAAUACGUAGGGUGCAAGCGUUAAUCGGAAUUACUGGGCGUAAAGCGUGCGCAGGCGGUUUGCUAAGACCGAUGUGAAAUCCCCGGGCUCAACCUGGGAACUGCAUUGGUGACUGGCAGGCUAGAGUAUGGCAGAGGGGGGUAGAAUUCCACGUGUAGCAGUGAAAUGCGUAGAGAUGUGGAGGAAUACCGAUGGCGAAGGCAGCCCCCUGGGCCAAUACUGACGCUCAUGCACGAAAGCGUGGGGAGCAAAUAGGAUUAGAUACCCUGGUAGUCCACGCCCUAAACGAUGUCAACUAGUUGUUGGGGAUUCAUUUUCCUUAGUAACGUAGCUAACGCGUGAAGUUGACCGCCUGGGGAGUACGGUCGCAAGAUU